CCAAGUAGCUCAGUUGGUUAGAGCGUCGGAUUCAUAACCCGGAGGUCAGCAGUUCAAUUCUGCUCUU
rnacentral:tRNA from 1 species